rnacentral:misc_RNA from 1 species
CUAUAAGGGCAUAUUAUAUAGAGGUAUUCCUAUUUAUUCCUCGAAUUUAAUUAUCGCAUUGAAACAAAAAGGCUGCAUAGUUAAUGAAUGGAGUUGUCCAACAAGUUUGGUUAAAUUACCCCGUUUCAUUAUUGAUCUUCUCUUUGUUUUUAGUGAACAAUUCAUCAUGCCUUUAAUGUGUUAUUUUGGCAAGUAUGAUAAGGUAAUAUAUCCAUACAAUUCAUGCUCAAUCUUGGCUGCAUUUGGUGAUAAAAGCCUUUUAAUUAUACAUGACUUUAUUC